rnacentral:rRNA from 1 species
AGUCGAGGGGUAUAGUUCUUCGGAAUUAGAGACCGGCGCACGGGUGCGUAACGCGUAUGCAAUCUACCUUUUACAGAGGGAUAGCCCAGAGAAAUUUGGAUUAAUACCUCAUAGUAUAGCAGUUUCGCAUGAAACCACUAUUAAAGUCACAACGGUAAAAGAUGAGCAUGCGUCCCAUUAGCUAGUUGGUAAGGUAACGGCUUACCAAGGCUACGAUGGGUAGGGGUCCUGAGAGGGAGAUCCCCCACACUGGUACUGAGACACGGACCAGACUCCUACGGGAGGCAGCAGUGAGGAAUAUUGGACAAUGGGCGCAAGCCUGAUCAGCCAUGCCGCGUGCAGGAUGACGGUCCUAUGGAUUGUAAACUGCUUUUAUACAGGAAGAAACCCUGGUUCGUGAACCAGCUUGACGGUACUGUAAGAAUAAGGAUCGGCUAACUCCGUGCCAGCAGCCGCGGUAAUACGGAGGAUCCAAGCGUUAUCCGGAAUCAUUGGGUUUAAAGGGUCCGUAGGCGGUUUAAUAAGUCAGUGGUGAAAGCCCAUCGCUCAACGGUGGAACGGCCAUUGAUACUGUUAAACUUGAAUUAUUAGGAAGUAACUAGAAUAUGUAGUGUAGCGGUGAAAUGCUUAGAGAUUACAUGGAAUACCAAUUGCGAAGGCAGGUUACUACUAAUGGAUUGACGCUGAUGGACGAAAGCGUGGGUAGCGAACAGGAUUAGAUACCCUGGUAGUCCACGCCGUACACGAUGGAUACUAGCUGUUGGGGGU